GGCCAAAUUUCCUGUUCUUCACCAUCGAACUUGAACAGAUCCCUCAUUGUCGGAGAACACUUUACCGCGAUCCACCUCAAAAUUCCCUCAGGUUCGACUUGUUUCCUUCUCCCUCUGCCGGUUGCAUAUCGAAUGGAUCGGUUGACUUUAGGUGUCUAUCUCUGAGAUUUAUGUUGGGUGACGACAAUAAACCCAGUGUAACUCUAAUGGAGGAGAUUCAGCUGUAUACCAAUUGGGAUGAUUUCACAUGUCCUAUAUGUUUGGACUUUCCUCACAAUGCUGUCCUUCUCCAGUGCUCGUCAUUUGAGAAAGGAUGUAGGUCCUUUGUAUGUGAUACAGGCCAUUUGCAUUCCAACUGUCUUGACCGAUUCAAACAAGCAAAUGGAAUGUCUUUUGGUACAAAAUUAUCAACUUCUGUGGAAAAUGCAGAAUCUUUGGUUUCAGAAUCUGAUAGGAAACCUCAAUGCCCCUUGUGUAGAGGAGAAGUUACUGGAUGGUUAGUUGUUGAUAAAGUUCGUAUGCAUUUGAAUCAGAAGAAACGAUGCUGUGAAGAAGAAAAGUGUCCAUUUACUGGCACAUACCUGGAGCUCAAAGCUCAUGCACGAGUAGAGCAUCCUCAUGCUUGCCCCUCAAAGGUUGACCCUGCUCGCCAGCUUGAUUGGGAAGAUUUUCAACAGUCCUCAGAAAUUAUAGAUGUUUUAAGCACUAUCCAUUCAGAAGUUCGAAAUGGUGUGGUUCUAGGCGAUUAUGUGAUAGAAUAUGCGGAUGACAACUCUGGAGAUGAGUUCCAUGAUUUCCCUGGGAAUGGGAGGAAUUGGUGGACUUCUUGCAUACUAUAUCAGAUUUUCAAAAAGAUUAGGAUGUCCAGAAAUAGGAGAAGAUUAAGAGGUAGCACUUCUGGAAGAGGAAAUGGCCGUCUAAGUUUUGAUACCUCAAACUCCAGUGAGGGUUCUUUGUCAUCAGUUGAAUAUGCUGAUUAUAGAGUUGAUGAGGCCGAUGAUGACUUUGUAAAUGCCAUGAGAGCUUCAAGGGGAAGAGCCUCGCAAUACAGCACUCCAAGGCGCCGCUCUGGCACCCGUUAACAACUAGGAUUGACUGGAUAUUACAGUAUGCUGGAGAACGAACAAGAGGCUGCACUGUGAAAUUGGAAAUUGGAUGUUGGUGCACCCUGCCACAAUCAGUGGCAUGUAUAAAAAAAGUUGCGAUCCUUCAGUUCAUAGGGUAUGAGUGUUGGAAUAGUUGUCGAUCCUACCCCUCCGUACAUCUGGUGGCUGUAUUUGAUUCUGGCAUUAGGCACGCGAGUAAGCUGAAUCUCUGAGCAGAAUGCAUGCAGCUCAACUACACAUUUGGUUAGAUCUGAAGGCUUAUACGAUGUGUAGUGCCUUAGUGUCGCGCUCCAUGGCCACUUGCAUGGGCAAAGAAUAUACUGAGCUAAGAAAACACACGAAGCAGCCACCAUUGAUGGCUUAUAUGGAAGCAUGGCAUACGACAGCAGCGAAAGGUCAGCGAGGUAGCAAGCCAUGCUCUCCAAAUUAGGCAAAGGUUUACUUUUUCCAGCUUUGGCUGCGCGCACGUACCUGCCCAGAAAGCUCUUAGCCGUGGAGUUCGCCACAUUGUAAUCCAGGUUAGUCAAAAUAGUUCCCUCCAUUCGAAUAAGGUCCUCUUUGAAAAAGAUGUUGUUGGUAGGAUCAGCAUAAGCUUCGAUUUUGAAGCGAGUUUUCAACUCUAUGAACUUCGACGCUAUCAUCAAGCAAGUCAGCCCAGAAAGAAACAGGUUCUUCUUAUCAACCUUGACGCCAGACAAGAAACGGUCCAAACAGUGGAUGCUCAGAUGCAACGUAUCCGAGGAAAGACAGAGCCCCUCAACCGCAGAAAACAGCCAAUCAAUGCAAUGCACGCGUUCUUGGUGACUGAUGAGUUUCUGCACAUUCUCGAUGUAAUCUGCCCGUGGCCUGUUCUUGUCCUCCUCCGACUGUAAAUUCCUGAAAAUAUCGUUGGCGAGGUAAGAGCAGAAUAAAGGGUCUUUCUCACCUGAAUCGAUGUCGAAGAUCAUUGUAUCUUCAGGCUGAUCGAAUCUCAAUAUCGGCGUCGGCGGCGGAACGGGUUCUGAAGGAAGCAGAGAAGAAGUCCCCUUGGCCAUUGAUGAUGCAGCAGAUGGAUGAUUUCUUGAAUGUUCUUGAUCACAGAACUUGGAGGAAACUUGCAGAAUCCAUGGAGGUUUACAGAUGGAAAAAAAAAAGGUUAGUAAGCAAUGAAAGAUUCCGUUACUAUUACCGUCGCCAUCGCCAUUGCUGUGCUUAUUAUUACCAUAAGCUCUAUCAAAGUAAACAGCACGCACAUAUAUAUAUAUAUACAUAUAUAUAUAAGGUAAACACGCGCUUGAUAACUAGGGAUUUGAUUUAAAGUAUCCCAAAAUAUCCGA